rnacentral:rRNA from 1 species
UAAUACGAAGGGGGCUAGCGUUGCUCGGAUUUACUGGGCGUAAAGGGCGCGUAGGCGGACAGUUAAGUUGGGGGUGAAAGCCCGGGGCUCAACCUCGGAAUUGCCUUCAAUACUGGCUGUCUUGAGUGUGAGAGAGGUGUGUGGAACUCCGAGUGUAGAGGUGAAAUUCGUAGAUAUUCGGAAGAACACCAGUGGCGAAGGCGACACACUGGCUCACUACUGACGCUGAGGCGCGAAAGCGUGGGGAGCAAACAGGAUUAGAUACCCUGGUAGUCCACGCUGUAAACGAUGAGUGCUAGUUGUCGGGCGGCAUGCCGUUCGGUGACGCAGCUAACGCAUUAAGCACUCCGCCUGGGGAGUACGGUCGCAAGAUUA